CCUACGGGGGGCUGCAGUGGGGAAUAUUGGACAAUGGGGGGAACCCUGAUCCAGCCAUGCCGCGUGUGUGAAGAAGGCCCUCGGGUUGUAAAGCACUUUCAGUGAGGAAGAACGCCUGGUGGUUAAUAUCCAUCAGGAAAGACAUCACUCACAGAAGAAGCACCGGCUAACUCCGUGCCAGCAGCCGCGGUAAUACGGAGGGUGCGAGCGUUAAUCGGAAUUACUGGGCGUAAAGCGCGCGUAGGUGGCUUGAUAAGCCGGUUGUGAAAGCCCCGGGCUCAACCUGGGAACGGCAUCCGGAACUGUCCAGCUAGAGUGCAGGAGAGGAAGGUAGAAUUCCCGGUGUAGCGGUGAAAUGCGUAGAGAUCGGGAGGAAUACCAGUGGCGAAGGCGGCCUUCUGGACUGACACUGACACUGAGGUGCGAAAGCGUGGGUAGCAAACAGGAUUAGAUACCCCAGUAGUC
rnacentral:rRNA from 1 species